AUACGUAGGUGACAAGCGUUAUCCGGAUUUACUGGGCGUAAAGGGCGUGUAGGCGGUCUUGCAAGUCAGAAGUGAAAUUCCUGAGCUCAACUCGGGCGCUGCUUCUGAAACUGCAGGACUUGAGUGCUGGAGGGGAUAGCGGAAUUCCUAGUGGAGCGGUAAAAUGCGCAGAUAUUAGGAAGAACACCGGUGGCGAAGGCGGCUAUCUGGACAGUAACUGACGCUGAGGCGCGAAAGCGUGGGGAGCAAACAGGAUUAGAUACCCUGGUAGGCCACGCCGUAAACGAUGAAUACUAGGUGUAGGGGGUAUCGACUCCCUCUGUGCCGCAGUUAACACAAUAAGUAUUCCGCCUGGGGAGUACGGCCGCAAGGUUGAAACUCAAAUGAAUUGACGGGG
rnacentral:rRNA from 1 species